AUUCCAGCUCCAAUAGCGUAUAUUAAAGUUGUUGCAGUUAAAAAGCUCGUAGUUGAACUUCGGAACCGGUCGAUUGGUCCGUCCUCUGGAUUGUGUACUGAUCGAUCUGUUCUUCUUCGCGAAGACCGCGUGUGCCCUUAACUGGGUGUGCACGGGAUUCACGACGUUUACUUUGAAAAAAUUAGAGUGUUCAAAGCAGGCAUUCGCUUGAAUAUCUCAGCAUGGAAUAAUAGAAUAGGACUUUGGUCUUAUUUUGUUGGUUUCCGAGACCGAAGUAAUGAUUAAUAGGGACAGUUGGGGGCAUUCGUAUUUCAUUGUCAGAGGUGAAAUUCUUGGAUUUAUGAAAGACGAACUACUGCGAAAGCAUUUACCAAGGAUGUUUUCAUCG
rnacentral:rRNA from 1 species